rnacentral:rRNA from 1 species
AUACGGAGGGUGCAAGCGUUACGCGGAAUCACUGGGCGUAAAGCGCGCGCAGGCGGCUAUUUAAGUUGGAUGUGAAAGCCUACGGCUCAACCGUAGAACUGCAUCCAAAACUAUUUAGCUAGAGUGUGGGAGAGGAAGAUGGAAUUAGUUGUGUAGGGGUAAAAUCCGUAGAGAUAACUAGGAAUACCAAAAGCGAAGGCAAUCUUCUGGAACACUACUGACGCUGAGGCGCGAAAGCGUGGGGAGCAAACGGGAUUAGAUACCCCAGUAGUCC